UAAGGAGGCAAUUAUGUCUAAUGGGACGCA
rnacentral:piRNA from 1 species